rnacentral:rRNA from 1 species
CGCAUCAGUUGCCAUCGGUAAGGCCGGGCACUCUGGAUGGACUGCCGGCGACAAGCCGGAGGAAGGUGGGGACGACGUCAAGUCAUCAUGGCCCUUAUGUCCAGGGCGACACACGUGCUACAAUGGCCGGCACAACGGGAAGCGAAGGGGCGACCCUGAGCGGAUCCCCAUAAAAGCCGGUCCCAGUUCGGAUUGCAGUCUGCAACUCGACUGCAUGAAGUUGGAAUCGCUAGUAAUCGUGGAUCAGCCAAGCCGCGGUGAAUACGUUCCCGGGCCUU